UACGUAGGGGGCUAGCGUUGUCCGGAUUUAUUGGGCGUAAAGAGCGUGUAGGCGGCCAGGUAGGUCUGCUGUGAAAACUCGAGGCUCAACCUCGAGACGUCGGCGGAAACCAUCUGGCUAGAGUCCGGAAGAGGAGAGUGGAAUUCCUGGUGUAGCGGUGAAAUGCGCAGAUAUCAGGAAGAACACCCGUGGCGAAGGCAGAUCUCUGGGCCGUAACUGACGCUGAGGCACGAAAGCGUGGGGAGCAAACAGG
rnacentral:rRNA from 1 species